CCGGCGCGAUUAUUGUUUCCGAUCAACCUGUCAAAUUUUAGCCAAUUUCGAUACAGUUGCGAAAAAUUAUGAAAUUACCCCCGGAGCGAUUUUUGUUCUCGAUCAACCUGUCAAAUUUGAGCCCAUUCCGGCACAGUCGCGAAAAAUGACGAAAUUGCCCCCGGCACGAUUUUUGUUUCCGAUCAACCUGUCAUAUUUUAGCCAAUUCUGACACAGUCGCGAGAAAUGACGAAAUUGUC
rnacentral:lncRNA from 1 species